rnacentral:rRNA from 1 species
UGGGGAAUAUUGGACAAUGGGCGAAAGCCUGAUCCAGCAAUGCCGCGUGAGUGAUGAAGGCCCUAGGGUUGUAAAGCUCUUUUACCCGGGAAGAAGGAGUGCGGGUUAAUACCUUGCAUGACGGACGGUACUGGAUGAAUAAGCACCGGCUAACUAC